GACGGAUUAGAUAUGGUAAUAACGAAUACAAAGGCCAGAAGAGUGUGUGAAUGGGUUAAGUGCCUUCUAAGCGUUGAGAACGGAAGAGCACACGU